GAUGAACGCUGGCGGCGUGCUUAACACAUGCAAGUCGAACGAAGCACUUAAGAACGAUUCUUCGGAUGAAGUCUUUUGUGACUGAGUGGCGGACGGGUGAGUAACGCGUGGGUAACCUGCCUCACACAGGGGGAUAACAGUUGGAAACGACCGCUAAUACCGCAUAAGCCAACAGGGGCGCAUGCUCUGGUUGGAAAAGAUUAAUCGGUGUGAGAUGGACCCGCGUCUGAUUAGCCAGUUGGCAGGGUAACGGCCUACCAAAGCGACGAUCAGUAGCCGGCCUGAGAGGGUGAACGGCCACAUUGGGACUGAGACACGGCCCAA
rnacentral:rRNA from 1 species